rnacentral:rRNA from 1 species
GUAGGGUCCAAGCGUUAAUCGGGAAUUACUGGGGCGUAAAGCGUGCGCAGGCGGUUGUGCAAGACCGAUGUGAAAUCCCCGGGGGCUUAACCUGGGGAAUUGCAUUGGUGACUGCACGGCUAGAGUGUGUCAGAGGGGGGUAGAAUUCCACGUGUAGCAGUGAAAUGCGUAGAGAUGUGGAGGAAUACCGAUGGCGAAGGCAGCCCCCUGGGAUAACACUGACGCUCAUGCACGAAAGCGUGGGGAGCAAACAGGAUUAGAUACCCUGGUAGUCCACGCCCUAAACGAUGUCAACUAGUUGUUGGGGAUUCAUUUCCUUAGUAACGUAGCUAACGCGUGAAGUUGACCGCCUGGGGAGUACGGUCGCAAAGAUUAA